UUUUUUUUUUUUUUAGAUUAAAGGUAGUGCAAUGUCAGUGCAUACUAUUUUUACACAAUCAUCCAAUAGAAUUAUAACAUUAUGUCAUAUCAUAUUAGUAUUUUAAAAUUAAACAUGUGAUUUGGCGGGAUACACGUCUCCAAUUGGUUGAUAGUGUAAAAAUAUUUUACACUGUCCGUGCAUAGUCUUUUUUUUUAUGAAUGAUCAAAAUCAAUUUAUUGAAAUUGUUUAGGAGAAUUAAAGUUUUAUAAAAUUCCUCUUAAAUUCACAAUAGCAUUAGACUUUAAUUAUUAAUUAGACUGUAACCAUUAUUUUCAAAAAAAAAUUCCAAAAUAAUCAAUUAUUCAAAAAAAUUAUGAAAAUAACCAGGUUUGGUAGAGGAUGCGUCAGAUGAAUUGACGCACCCCCAAUGCAUGAAGAGGAGGCGCCAAUAGCAUUGGCGCAUGCAUUGGGCUCCUCAUGAGGAGGUGCCAAUGCUAGUGGCGCCUGCAUUGGGCCUCAUGAGGAGACGACAAUGCUAGUGGCACCUAGGUGUGUUUGAUUGGUGUAUGCGUCAAUUCAUCUGGCGCAUACAUCCCCUGCUAUUUUUUUUAAUUUUUUAAUCUUUUUAGUUUUUUAAAUUUUUUUAAUUAUUAAUAUUUAAUUUUUAUUAUUUAAUAAAUAAGAAAUAGUAAUGAAAAUAAAUAAAUUCAUUGAUGAUGUAAUAAUUAGUUACAUUGAACUGACAAUAAACUAAUGACCAGCUCGAUUAUAACGUCCCCCUCUUCCACAUCUCGGUGCAUUAGUUUGUCUCCUAGGUCUCCCACGAUUUUCUUGAGGUGUUUGGGGUCUUUGUGUGUUGACCUGAUCGAGCGAUGGCUGGUUGGAAGGUCCGACGAAAGUUCUAGCGGUAUUUGACAAAUGCGUCAUCAUUUGCUCCCAAUAUCCGGAGGGGCUCUGGCCAACAGCGCUUCCGUAAUAGAGUUCGGUGCCCAUGUUAUCGUAGUUAGGGCGUUGGGGUUGGGUGAAUUAGGGACGGUAUAGUUGCCCAAAUUGGGCCAUUGAGUCGUUUUGGAAACGAAGCAAUGGUUCCUAGGGCAUACUAUAGUUAAACAAUGGUUGGAUGUUAUGUUGAUGAGAUGUUUGGGUGGUCAUUGGUGGGGGGCUACGAUGAAGUGACCCAUAUGAAUCAUCUGGGCUAUAGACGGUUGUGGUUGCGAGGUUUGGUUCUUGGUUUUGUGUUUGGGUGAGUGGUAUGAAUGGAUUGCGACGUUGGAUGGUUGGUUGUUGGGUGAUUGGCAUGAACGGGUUGCGAUGUUGGAUGUUUGGGUGUUGUGUGUAUGUGGUUGGUUGAUGUUGUGUGGUUGGUUGUUGGGUUUGGGUGGGUUCACAUUGGUGUUGGGUGGUGAAUUGUUAUGGGGCGUACGAUGACGAAGCAUGUUGGCGUGGAUCCAUCAAAUACCGCGGCUCAGAUAUAAAUUGCUGAGUUGUCACCGAUCUAAACCAUACCAUAUAUUGUUGAGCCGGUCUUGCACCAUGGAUGACUGGUUCGUUCAAGAUGUGUUGUCGUCGAUUCCUCCAUUGACGACACAUGUCUUUUGCAAAGUCUCUCCAGUCAGAAUAAUCUCACUGUGCAUCAACCCUUUUUUGAUGCCAAUUCCCCAAACACGUGAGAGAUUCUGGAAUCUGUUGUAGCAUUCCUUACUGCAGUUUGACCCGGUCACUCCAGUGCAUUUCCACCGCAGUGAAUCGGAUAAUCGGUGUCUUCGCUGUCCAAACUGCAGCAUCGUCAUGGUUCACAUCAUGAUCCAGACCCAGAUAUGGCCUCCAGACAAACUGUAAAACCAUACGAAACGAUUAGAUAGAAAAUAAUUUGAGAAGUAUUUUUAAAUUAAAAUAUAGUUGGAUAGGAUUAUUACAUCUUCAUGUCCAAUGUGGUCCAAUAGACUUCGAUAGACUACAAUAUUGUGUUUUAGACACCUGUUGUAGUUCAUUCCCCUUACUGACCACCUAAGAUAAAAAAGAAUUGAAAAAUAUUAUUUACCGUUAAUUAUAAUAUAAAAUAUAAUUAACUAAAUGGUGAAUGGUAAAGUGUUAGACUUAUUUGGUUACAAACGGGAACACGAAUGGGCGCUCAUUUAUCGGGGCGAGCGGCGACAUUCUUGACCAACCCCAAACUUGAAGCAAAUACGCACAUGAAAAAAAAGUACAUGUAUUCUUUUUUGCAGUUCUACACAUUGCACUAUAUAGAUGGACCAACACAACUGAACCCCAACUAUAAGUGUUUAACUUAUUAAUGUUGCGUAAUAAAGGUAAAUAUAUUAUAUUUACAGAAUUACCUGUACAUUCUGGAAACAAAAAAUUACCAAAUAAAAUCAUAAUAUAACACCGAGCUUUUAUUAUUUUCUCAUACUCAGUUGAAUCGUCGGACAAUACUAUACUGGCAUAAUAUUGUUUACGGUAUUUUAAAUUUAUACCUUGCCCCCUUGCUUGACCGGAUGUGUCUCCCUCAGUUUCGACGUCUAAAAAAGGGCACCCAAUAAUUCAUUGCAGAUAUUGUUGUCUUGGUUAACUCGAUCACUCACUGCCUUUCCAUUUAUACGGAGACCCAACAACAUGUACAUGUCCUCAAGUGUGACGGUACACUCACUAAUCGGAAUGUGAAAUGUGUGGGUCUCGGGUCUCCACCUCUCCAACAAAGCCUGAAUGAACUUGUAGUCCACUGAGUACGAAACAAUGUUGAGUAGAUUUCCAAAUCCACAUCCUCUAAUAUAUGGUUCUAUUAAAGGAUCGCGGGGUACAUAUUCAUGUACACGGCAUCUAAACCGCUUCGGAUCCUAAUAACAAAAAAGUAAGAAAAUAUAAUUAGAAGAAGAAAUACAUAAUCAACAAACACAACUCUAUAAGAAGUAAGAAAAACAUAGAUAACAAAGGUAUAAGACUAAAAACAGAAAAAGUAAAAAGAGAGAGAGAUGACAUACAAAUGCCGAGAUAUUCUCGAGUGUGCCUCUGUGUUCAUCGCCCAUAGUCAACAAAGACAUGAUUUGAUUUUGAAAAGGUUGAGUGUGGUAGAGGAAACAAGUGUGGUAGAAGAAUAUAAUUGAGUAUUGAUGAAGAUGAUUUGGUAUUAUUGAUAUGAGAGGCUAUUUAUAGAUGAAUGAGUGAGUAGGUUUGCAACCUAAGAUGAAUGUGAUUGGUUGCAUGGAAUGGAAAGAGAAGAUAAGGGAAUGACAAACUUCAGAAAGCAUGUGAGAGAUAACAUGUGAGGAAUAUCUUCUAGGCGCAUGUGAAGAAUCAAUAUGCAAGGGAAGAGGCCCUUCCUCUUGGAGCCUGCAUGUGAUUCUUCACAUGCAAGGAAGAGGCUCCAUUCCUCUUGGAGCCUUAGUGUAGGGCAAUGGGAAGGGGCGCCCUUCCUAGUGGCGCCUAAAACCAAUUUUUGUGAAGAGGCGCUUAUCCUUUUGGCGCCCCAGUUACUUUAUGGCACCUAGGUGGGAAUCUUAGGGCUCAUGGUUCAGAGAUUCCUUAAUGCCCUGGCGCAUGUGUGUUCUUGUCACUCUUUUCUCUGCAUGGUUGAUUCUUUCUACUACAUGCAUGGUCAAUUCUGUAUAGACAAUGACCAAGUUAUCAAUGCAACGACCAAGUUAGCAAUGCAACACUAUUUAUGUUGUGCAGAUGAACAACUUAGCAAUGCAUUCAAUUCCAUUAAAGCUAUCUACAUAUUUAAUAUUUCAACAAAAUGUCUUCCACACAACAUUACAUGAUCAGUGCCAAUGUCGAAGGUAAAAUAUCUGAUCAUCGGUUGUUCGGUUUUUAUUUUCAAAACACAGAGGUCACUCGGUUUACAAUACAUCGAAGAUCAAAAUUUUCACACCUGAAACAAAGAAUAGAAAAGAAAUUGCAGUGCAGUAAUGUGGGCCAAAUCAUCUAUAAAAAUCCGGUUUGGUUUGCAGAAAACCAAGUAAAAUUUUAUCAAAAGAAGAUUCGAGAUGAUGAUGAUGUUCAACAUAUGUUUGUCAGUCACGAACAAUCCGGUUACAACGAUAUAAAGUUGUAUAUAUUACCACAUCAAUAACAGGUGUCUCAGUAUAUUGAUCAGUCACAAGUGUUUUGUGAGACUGAUGACGAACAAGUUGAGGUGAAUGUUCUAGAUGACGACGAAGAAGAAGAUGAGAUCAUGGUUGAUUUGAUGGUGAACACUGAAGAGGAAGAGGAUCCAAUACCAGCAAGUCAUGUAUACUGCCCACCCCAACACAUGACAAGGUUAAAUUUGGGUUCAGAUGAACCUUCAGUAAAUGUAUGGUAUAAUCCUUACGUGCAGAUGCAAUGAUCUUUGAAACAAGGAGACACAUUUCGCACAAAAGAGGAAUGUGUAAGAGCCAUUAAGAAAUUCCACAUGCAACUAUCAGCUGAUUUCAGAGUGGACAGAAUUGACGCAUCGAGGUAUAAACUUUAUUGUCCGAAUGAGCACUGCCUUUUUAGGUUGUCAGCUUCGUACCAGAAGAGGAGCGAGUCUAGGGAGAUUGGAUCAAUGGGUCCAGAUCACACAUGCAUGCUGACAAACCCAAUGUGGGAUCAUCGUAAAUUAAGCUCUUAGCUAAUAUGCGAUGAAAUAUUAUCUGUCAUUGGCGACAAUCCGUCAUUAUAGGUGAGUACCAUAAUCGCACAUAUUAGGGCAGAGUACGAGUACACUCCAUCAUAUAGUAAGGCAUGGAUAGCUAGGACAAAAGUUGUUGAAAAAGUGUUUGGCAAUUGGGAGGAGUCUUACAGACAACUUCCAAAAUACUUGUUGGCUCUAAAACAAUAUGCUCCCGGGACAAUUGUCAAGCUAGAAACAUUGCCCGCCUAUACACCAGAUGGUACGUGUGUUGUUGGAAAUAGAAUAUUUCACCGUCUAUUCUGGGGGUAUCAACCAUAUAUCAUAGGUUUUUCUUUCUGUAAACCAAUUAUACAAAUUGAUGGUACAUGGUUGUACGGAAAAUACAAAGGAACGUUAUUGAUGGCAGUGGCACAAGAUGGGAACAUCAAUAUUUUUCCAAUCGCCUUUGCCCUAGUUGAAGGGGAGCCUGAUGAGGGAUGGAGUUUUUUGCUAAGAAAUCUCUGAUUGCACGUUGCACCUCAGCCUAACUUAUGUUUGAUCUCCGACAGACACCCUUCAAUCAUCAGUGCAUAUAAUAACAUUGACAACAACCGACAAAAUCCUCCUUCGACGCAUGUGUUCUGUAUUAGACAUAUUGCUCAGAAUUUCAUGCGGGAAAUCAAAGAUAAGACGUUGUGGAAGAAGAUUGUCAAUGCAGGUUACGCAUUAUUAGAACCUUCUUUCAAAUACUACCGCGAGGAAAUAAGAUUGUCAAACAAAGAUGAUGUACGGUGGAUCGAUAGUAUUCCUUUGGAGAAGUGGACUAGGGCAUACGACAACGGUCAGCGUUGGGGCCACACGACAACAAAUCUCGUGGAAUCAAUGAACUUUGUUUUCAAAGGCAUCUGUAACUUACCAAUAACCGCUUUGGUGCAGGCUACAUAUUUUAGGCUAGGGGCGUUGUUUGAAACCAAACGCUCAAAAUGGAGUUCAGUGUUGCAAUCUGGACAAUUGUUCAGUGAUGCUUCAAUGAAAUUCAUCAGACAUGAAGCUUCCAAAGCAAACACACACGUGGUUACGGUCUUUGACUGAAGUAAAGGUUGAUUUAGUGUUGCUGAGUCCAUGGAUCACAAUGAGGGCAUGCCGAUGAGACAAUACAAAGUCGAACUAGAUAGAGAUUGAUGCGACAGCGGAAAGUUCCAAGCCUUUCGUACCCCUUGCUCCCAUGUCAUUGCGGCAUGCUCAACGGUUCGAAGGGAUCCAUCCUACUUGUUAUCUAAAGUUUACAAAGUCGUCAGCCUUUCAAAUGUUUAUAAAAUUAGUUUUUCCGUAGUGGAAAAAGAGGAUUAUUGGCCAGAAUAUCAAGGGGACAUCAUCUGGCACAACGAAGUUAUGCGAAGGAAGAAAAAGGGUCGCCCAAACAACACCCGAAUUCGAACCGAAAUGGAUACGGCGAACAAAAUGGUUAGACUAUGUAGUUCAUGCCGUCAACCAGGUCACAAUCGUAAUAACCGUCGUAGUUGGAACGAGCACAACCAGAUAAAUUUACAUGUACCUUUAUUGCAAUAUAUGAAAAACUAAAUUUAUUUCAUAUUAGACGUCUGUCACGAAAGUACCAUUACAUAAACAGUAACACAGAUAAUUAUAACAAAUACAAGAACUAUGCAAUUACAACCAUCAAAAAAUCUUGAACAUGUAAUGUCUCAUCCUACGAGCGUCUUGGUCGGUCUUAAUAUCCACUCAUUCGCGUAAUUCUCCGUGUUGGUUGAACGUGGACACAAGUCAUUGUAUUCUUCUAAUCCGUUCAUCCUCUCCAAUUUAUCCCUCUAACCAACUGUACAACGUCCGAUUAAGACGUUCAAACGUAUCUGUGUUCCAAAGUCGAACCUGUAUCGGAGCCGCAACGGCAGAAAAUAUUACAUCAUCAUUUCGUUUCUGAAUGUAUGCAGACAUUGUUGAAACAGAGAAAAUUGAAAUUGAUGGUGGUCGAAUUGUAUUAGAAGAUGAGUUUGAGUGAAAAAUAUUGCAUCCAAGGCGUGGUAUUUAUAGAGACAGAACAUCAAUGUACAAAAGAUGUGGGCGCCUGAGGGAUUGGCGCCCACAUGACCAUCACAUGCAGGCGCCAGAUGAAUGGGCACCCACACAAUCAAACACACCUAGGCACCACUAACAUUGGCGCCUCCUCCAUGCAUGCGCCACUAGCAUUGGCGCCUCCUCAUGAGGAGCCCAAUGCAUGCGUCAAUGCUAUUGACGCCUCCUCUUAAUGCAUUGAGGGUGCACCAAUUCAUCUGGCGCAUCAUCUACCAAACCUGGUUAUUUUGAUAAUUUUUUUGAAUAAUUAGUUAUUUUGAAUUUUUUUUGAAAAUAAUGGUUAUUUUGAAAAAAAAAAAUCUUAAAAAUGAAUUUGAUAAAUAUGUUUUAAAAAUAUUAUAAAUUUUUUAAUUCCUUUUUUAUAAAUAGAGAUAUUACUUUUGAUAUCAUAUAACAUAAAUAUACAUUAUUGAAAAUUUAAAUAUGGUCGAACUACAAUUUUUAUAAAAAAUUAUAUCUCAAAAAUAAUUUUUGUAAAAAAAACUACUUAAAAUAGCUAUAAAAUUAAGUAAUUUUUUAAAAUUUUAAUAUCCAAAGAAAAUCUCAAUAAAAUAAUAAAAUAUCUAAAAUAAUAUUUUAAAAAUAAUUAUCAAAGAAAUUUUUUUUAACAAAAAAUAUUACACUAUAAAAAUUCAUUUUUAAAAAAAAUAAAAGAAACUAGCCCUCAACAUUGGACCCAUAAAAGAAAAAAAAUUGCACCACUAAUUCAAAAGGUCUUGAAUUUGUCUUUUUGGACUCUGGAGCCAGAGUUCGUACUUAUAGAUGGAUUGGUAACCUUCCUUCUGUAAAUUGCAAAAAUUCCUAGCAAGUUUUUCACAAUUAUAAUGAAGAAUAUCUUUCAAAUAAUACUAAACAAUAAAUCAGUUACUGCUACGUCUCCACUUGUUUUCUAUAAUUUUUCCCACGCAAAGCUAUUGAAGUCUAGAAGACAAAAGAACCUUUACACAUCUGAAGUUACCCACAACCCAAAACGAAUAGCAAGAAGCAGAAAAGAUACAAAACUUUUUAAGACAACUACAAAGUUUGUUCAG
rnacentral:lncRNA from 1 species